rnacentral:rRNA from 1 species
CAGCAGCCACGGUAAUACGGAGGGUGCAAGCGUUAAUCGGAAUUACUGGGCGUAAAGCGCACGCAGGCGGUCUGUCAAGUCAGAUGUGAAAUCCCCGGGCUUAACCUGGGAACUGCAUUUGAAACUGGCAGGCUAGAGUCUUGUAGAGGGGGGUAGAAUUCCAGGUGUAGCGGUGAAAUGCGUAGAGAUCUGGAGGAAUACCGGUGGCGAAGGCGGCCCCCUGGACAAAGACUGACGCUCAGGUGCGAAAGCGUGGGGAGCAAACAGGAUUAGAUACCCGAGUAGUCCCUGUCUCUUAUAC